AGUGAACGCUGGCGGUAGGCCUAACACAUGCAAGUCGAACGGCAGCACAGUAAGAGCUUGCUCGUACGGGUGGCGAGUGGCGGACGGGUGAGGAAUACAUCGGAAUCUACUUUUUCGUGGGUGAUAACGUAGGGAAACUUACGCUAAUACCGCAUACGACCUACGGGUGAAAGCAGGGGAUCUUCGGACCUUGCGCGAUUGAAUGAGCCGAUGUCGGAUUAGCUAGUUGGCGGGGUAAAGGCCCACCAAGGCGACGAUCCGUAGCUGGUCUGAGAGGAUGAUCAGCCACACUGGAACUGAGACACGGUCCAGACUCCUACGGGAGGCAGCAGUGGGGAAUAUUGGACAAUGGGCGCAAGCCUGAUCCAGCAAUACCGCGUGGGUGAAGAAGGCCUUCGGGUUGUAAAGCCCUUUUGUUGGGAAAGAAAAGCAGCAGGUUAAUACCCCGCUGUUCUGACGGUACCCAAAGAAUAAGCACCGGCUAACUUCGUG
rnacentral:rRNA from 1 species